AUACCGAGGGUGCAAGCGUUAAUCGGAUUUACUGGGCGUAAAGCGCGCGUAGGCGGCUAAUUAAGUCAAAUGUGAAAUCCCCGAGCUUAACUUGGGAAUUGCAUUCGAUACUGGUUAGCUAGAGUGUGGGAGAGGAUGGUAGAAUUCCAGGUGUAGCGGUGAAAUGCGUAGAGGUCUGGAGGAAUACCGAUGGCGAAGGCAGCCAUCUGGCCUAACACUGACGCUGAGGUGCGAAAGCAUGGGGAGCAAACAGGAUUAGAUACCCGAGUAGUCC
rnacentral:rRNA from 1 species